CGAACGCUGGCGGCGUGCUUAACACAUGCAAGUCGAACGGUGAAGGGGUCUGCUUUUGUGGGCCCUGGAUGAGUGGCGAACGGGUGAGUAACACGUGAGUAACCUGCCCCCUUCUUCUGGAUAACCGCAUGAAAGUGUGGCUAAUACGGGAUAUUCUGGGUCUGUCGCAUGAUGGGUCUGGGAAAGAUUGCGCCUUUGGGUGUUUUUGGUGGGGGAUGGGCUCGCGGCCUAUCAGCUUGUUGGUGGGGUGAUGGCCUACCAAGGCGGUGACGGGUAGCCGGCCUGAGAGGGUGGACGGUCACACUGGGACUGAGACACGGCCCAGACUCCUACGGGAGGCAGCAGUGGGGAAUAUUGCACAAUGGGCGCAAGCCUGAUGCAGCGACGCCGCGUGAGGGAUGGAGGCCUUCGGGUUGUAAACCUCUUUCGCCAGUGAAGCAGGCCUGCUCCUUGUGGGUGGGUUGACGGUAGCUGGAUAAGAAGCGCCGGCUAACUACGUG
rnacentral:rRNA from 1 species